AGAAUCAACGCUGGCGGCGUGCCUCAGACAUGCAAGUCGAACGCGAAAGUCUCCUUCGGGGGACAAGUAGAGUGGCGCACGGGUGAGUAACACGUAGGUAAUCUACCUUCGGAUGGGGGAAUAACAACCGGAAACGGUUGCUAAUACCGCAUAAUGCAGCGGCACCUAAUGGUGACAGUUGUUAAAGCGGGGGAUCGAAAGACCUCGCGUCUGAAGAGGAGCCUGCGGCGGAUUAGCUAGUUGGUAGGUAACGCCUACCAAGGCGACGAUCCGUAGCC
rnacentral:rRNA from 1 species